rnacentral:rRNA from 1 species
AAUCGAACCCGGAGAUAGCUGGUUCUCCUCGAAAUAGCUUUAGGGCUAGCCUCAUGGAUCAUUGGUGGGGGUAGAGCACUGAAUGUGCGCGGGGGCCACAAAGCCUACCAAACGCUAUCAAACUUCGAAUACCAUACAAUGCAGACCAUGGGAGUCAGUCCGCGAGAGAUAAGUUCCGCGGGCAAAAGGGGAACACCCCAGAUCAACCGCUAAGGUCCCCAAGUUCACGUUAAGUGGAGAAGGAUGUGGAAUUGCACAGACAACCAGGAUGUUGGCUCAGAAGCAGCCACACAUUUAAAGAGUGCGUAAUAGCUCACUGGUCGAGUGAUUGUGCGCCGAAGAUGUCCGGGGCUAAACGUGACACCGAAGCGAUGGGUGCAUCUGAAAGGAUGCGCGGUAGAGGAGCAAUGUGCAGAGGCAGAAGCCGUAUCGAGAGGCACGGUGGACACUGCACAAGAGAGAAUGCCGGUAUGAGUAGCGAGAGGCAUGCGAGAAACAUGCCCGUCGAAAGCCCAAGGUUUCCUGGGGAAGGUUCAUCCGCCCAGGGUAAGUCGGGGCCUAAGCCGAGGACGGAAGUCGUAGGCGAUGGACAGCAGGUGUAGAUUCCUGCACUACCGAUGGAAUGAAGCAGUGACACAGAAGGAUAACUCGAGCAGGGUGAUGGUCAACCCUGUGCAAGCAUCAAGGUUGGGUUGUAGUGAAGUACGCAACCCUAUAAGCUGAGGUGUGAUGCGAACCGAAAUUUCAGUAGGGAAGCGAGUGAGUUCACGCUGGCGAGAAAAGCUGCUAGUAUAUCCAAAGGUACCCGUACCGGAAACCGACGCAGGUGGGCGAGGAGAGAAUCCUGAGACGAACGGGAGAACCCUUGUUAAGGAACUCGGCAAAAUGACCCCGUAACUUCGGGAUAAGGGGUGCCUGCGAGAGCAGGCCGCAGAGAAUAGUCACAAGCGACUGUUUAGCAAAAACACAGGUAUCUGCGAAAGCGAGAGCUGACGUAUAGGUGCUGACACCUGCCCGGUGCUGGAAGGUUAAGGGAACAUGUUAGAGCAAUCGAAGCAUCGAACCGAAGCCCCAGUAAACGGCGGCCGUAACUAUAACGGUCCUAAGGUAGCGAAAUUCCUUGUCGGGUAAGUUCCGACCCGCACGAAUGGUGUAACGACUUGUGAGCUGUCUCAACAGGGGGCCCGGUGAAAUUGAAGUAUGGGUGAAGAUGCCCAUUACCCGCGACUGGACGGAAAGACCCCGUAGAGCUUUACUGCAGCCUGAUAUUGAGUUUCGGUAACUGAUGCACAGGAUAGGUGGGAGUCUGAGAGACAUGGGUUUCGGCUCAUGUGGAGACGGUGUUGGGAUACCACUCUUCGGUUACUGAAAUUCUAACAUAGCUCUGUGAAACCAGAGGAUGGACAGUGUCAGGUGGACAGUUUGACUGGGGCGGUCGCCUCCGAAAGAGUAACGGAGGCGCCCAAAGGUACCCUCAGAAUGGAUGGAAACCAUUCGAAGAGCGCAAAGGCAGAAGGGUGCCUGACUGCGAGAUUGACAAAUCGAGCAGAGACGAAAGUCGGGCUUAGUGAUCCGGCGGUAUUGAGUGGAAAAGCCGUCGCUUAACGGAUAAAAGCUACCUCGGGGAUAACAGGCUGAUCUCCCCCAAGAGUCCACAUCGACGGGGAGGUUUGGCACCUCGAUGUCGGCUCGUCGCAUCCUGGGGCUGAAGCAGGUCCCAAGGGUUUGGCUGUUCGCCAAUUAAAGCGGCACGCGAGCUGGGUUCAGAACGUCGUGAGACAGUUCGGUCCCUAUCCAUCGUGGGCGUAGGAGUCAUGAGAGGAGCUGUUCCUAGUACGAGAGGACCGGAAUGGACGCACCACUGGUGCAACUGUUGUCGUGCCAACGGCAUAGCAGGGAAGCGAAGUGCGGAUGGGAUAAACGCUGAAGGCAUCUAAGCGUGAAGCCCACCUCGAGAAUAAGACUCCACAAUAGACCCCUGGAGGACUACCAGGUAGAUAGGUCAUCGGUGGAAGCGCUGUAAGGCGUGU